GUUCAUCCUGACGGCACAGAAGGAGGUCCAGCUCGCAGUCUCUGGCUACCAAUCGAGAAGCCUGGGGUGGGUUGCCUCUUCGUGCAAAAGAAUAAGCUGGAGGUGGACACACCGGUUGCGCUUGAACAUGCGAACGAAGUGCUCCUGGGUGAACCUGCAACGUCUUGUGGUCUGGAUAUAGAUGCGG
rnacentral:sRNA from 1 species